UACGUAGGUGGCAAGCGUUGUUCGGAAUUAUUGGGCGUAAAGAGCGCGCAGGCGGUCAGAUAAGUCGAAUGUGAAAGCCCCCGGCUCAACUGGGGAGGGUCAUUCGAUACUGUUCGACUCGAAGGCAGGAGAGGGAAGUGGAAUUCCCGGUGUAGUGGUGAAAUGCGUAGAUAUCGGGAGGAACACCAGUGGCGAAGGCGACUUCCUGGCCUGUUCUUGACGCUGAGGCGCGAAAGCUAGGGGAGCAAACGGG
rnacentral:rRNA from 1 species